rnacentral:rRNA from 1 species
AGUGAACGCUGGCGGUAGGCCUAACACAUGCAAGUCGAACGGCAGCACAGUAAGAGCUUGCUCUUACGGGUGGCGAGUGGCGGACGGGUGAGGAAUACAUCGGAAUCUACUUUUUCGUGGGGGAUAACGUAGGGAAACUUACGCUAAUACCGCAUACGAUCUACGGGUGAAAGCAGGGGAUCUUCGCACCUUGCGCGAUUGAAUGAGCCGAUGUCGGAUUAGCUGGUUGGCGGGGUAAAGGCCCACCAAGGCGAGGAUCCGUAGCUGGUCUGGGAGGACGGUCGGCCACAUUGGAGCUGGGACACGGUCCAGACUCCUACGGUAGGCAGCAGUGGGGAAUAUUGGACAAUGGGCGCAAGCCUGGUCCAGCCAUACCGCGUGGGUGAAGAAGGCCUUCGGGUUGUAAAGCCCUUUUGUUGGGAAAGAAAAGCAGCAGGUUAAUACCCCGCUGUUCUGACGGUACCCAAAGAAUAAGCACCGGCUAACUACGUG